rnacentral:miRNA from 1 species
UUAGGAAGUGAUUUCUUCAGGC